rnacentral:rRNA from 1 species
GAUGAACGCUGGCGGCGUGCUUAACACAUGCCAGUCGAACGAUGAAGCCCAGCUUGCUGGGUGGAUUAGUGGCGAACGGGUGAGUAACACGUGAGUAACCUGCCCUUAACUCUGGGAUAAGCCUGGGAAACUGGGUCUAAUACCGGAUAGGAGCGUCCACCGCAUGGUGGGUGUUGGAAAGAUUUAUCGGUUUUGGAUGGACUCGCGGCCUAUCAGCUUGUUGGUGAGGUAAUGGCUCACCAAGGCGACGACGGGUAGCCGGCCUGGGAGGGUGACCGGCCCCAUGGGGACUGAGCCAGGGCCCAGCCCCCACGGGGGGGCAGUGGGGGGAAGUUUGGCAGAGGGGGGCCAGGCCGGUGGCGGCGGCCCCGGGGGGGGAAUGCCGGCCUUGGGGUUAAAAACCCUUUUCAGAGGGAAAAAAGAGAAAGGGACGGUACCUGAAAAAGAAGCCCCGGCUAACUACGUG